GGGGAUGUUCUUGGUUUUGACAGCAAGGUAAAUUGAAAUGUAAGCACGUCGAGCGUUGAGUUUCUGGCUCGUUAAUCCCAAAUCUCAAGCCGUAACAGGCAACAAUAAUUAUGCUCUCGCUGCCUAAGACACUAAGUGUAAAGGCUUAAUCAGGCGGUCCAAGGCGGCCGUCAGACGAGGAUCUCACAAACGACCUGCCUUUCGGUUGUUUGAUUUCGAGGUUUCAUUUUCAGGAAGGAUAGCAUGCGUGACGCCUUUAAUCGUAUGCAAAAUUUCAAAGGCUAAGGGUAAAGCCGAUAGCUUCUUAUCUAGUUUUAUCCCGACAAAUUGAAAAGAAGAUAAGCGCGUAGAAAGCAUUUUGGUUACUUGUUUGGACGCGGGUUCGAAUCCCGCCAUCUCCACUU
rnacentral:tmRNA from 1 species